GGCGCCGUGGCUUAGUUGGUUAAAGCGUCUGUCUAGUAAACAGGAGAUGGGGGGUUCGAAUCCCCCCGGAGCCU
rnacentral:tRNA from 1 species